rnacentral:rRNA from 1 species
GACGAAGGGGGCUAGCGUUGUUCGGAAUUACUGGGCGUAAAGCGUGUGAGGCGGUUGCCCAAGUCAGGUGUGAAAGCCUUGAGCUCAACUCAAGAAAUGCACUUGGUACUGGGUGGCUAGAGGACCGGAGAGGAUAGUGGAAUUCCCAGUGUAGUGGUGAAAUACGUAGAGAUUGGGAAGAACACCAGUGGCGAAGGCGGCUAUCUGGACGGUUUCUGACACUAAGACUCGAAAGCGUGGGGAGCAA